UUUAAAAAUAACCGAAAGUUAUCAAACCGUUUAAAUUUAAUAAAGAAAUUGUAUCGAACCGAUAGUGUUGCGGCGCGCGAAACAAAAAACAAUACAUUAACAUACAAUCUAAUAUUUUGUGCCACAGAUGCAUUUUUCCGCACCCCAGGGUCCCCGAGUGUUCCGAUAUGAAUCGUUUAUCAUAUUAUUAAGUCUGCGUACUGUUAUGUACUGCGGCGUUCGAAUAAUUGACGUUAAUCGGGUACACUGCAGACGAAAACGUAUGUUAAUUAUCGUUUCGGACGCGAGCCAGACGCCGGCGGCGUGUUUACGGUACGUUCGAACGGGUCCGCGGCGAGGGAAAUCUGUUGGUUAAACG